AAAAUUAAAUCAUUAUUUUGCAAGCUGGACAUGGACUUGCCUAGAGAAGCUACUAGCCACUGCCAGAUUGCCAUCUCUCUCUGGUCACAACUCCAAACAAUAGAAAUUGCCAGCCCUUUCUCUCCUGCCUUAUGUCUCUAACAAAAUCCGAUUGUUGCUGCCCAUUUGUCCUCGAUCCUCCACGUGAUCCAAAGUUUUUUCCUUUAAAAGAAAAUUUUUGAUCGAAAAUAUUGCCUCUUUUUAGUUUCCUUGGUUGCAUCUAUCAUCUGCUCCAGAAAAUUUUGGAAAAUGCAGCAGGGGUUGGACUGGGAGCAGUAUCUGGUAGAAGGUGUAAGAACGGAUGUGGAUCUGUCUGGACUGAGAGAUGAUGAUGGUGUUAGCGGAAGGGGGAAAAGCGAAGAUGGAAAAUUAAGCUAUGGCUACACAUCUCGAAGAGGGCAUAGAGUAACCAUGGAUGGUACCUACGAUAUUAAGAUUUCCACCAUUAAUGGGCAGUGUGUGCAUGUUUGGAAUCUUUGAUGAACGACUUACUUAUCGAGAUGAUGGUUCAGCUGCUAUUACAGCAGUGGUGGUUGGUAACCAUCUAUAUGUUGCCCAUGUUGGGGACUCAAGGGGUAUAGCAUCCAAGGCUGGAAAUGGAGGUAGUUGUUCUUGCUCGAGCUGAAGAAGCUGAGAAAGCGGCUAAAAGGUUAACGGAUAUUGCUUUCACCAGAAUGGAACAAAAGAUAACCUUCGGUUGGAAUUUUCAAUGCAUUGUGAUUAAAUUCCACCAUCCGGAAUCAGCAUAAUUAGAAAUCACUUUAUACUAUUGCAUCCAAUUUCUGUCUGUGUUCAUCUACUACUUAAUGGCCAAUGAUUGCAUACAUCAAGGGCCCAUAUUAUUAUUAUUAUUAUUUAAAUAAAGGAGCAUGCAUUAGACUAAGAAAUUGCAUGACACAUACAUGAACAAAACUAAAUGUAAAAUUAGAAAGUUCAUAAAAAAUGGAAAAGUGUUUCAAAAUA